rnacentral:lncRNA from 1 species
UCCUCGAGGUAUCAUUGCAAUUAAAUGUUUAUUCUUUUUUGUGGCAUAAUUAAUGGAAAAAAAGAGCCUUUUAAGCCUAAAACAAUAUAAUUAGAAAUGGUUUCCACUGCAUCUGCUCUAUGGCAAACAUUUCUUUUUCUUUUUUCUUUUUUCUUUUUAAUGAUUACAACAGUUUGAUUUCCCAUUUCAGAAAACCAACUUU